AUUGAACGCUGGCGGCAAGCUUAACACAUGCAAGUCGAGCGGAGCGAGGGUGCUUGCACCUUAGCUUAGCGGCGGACGGGUGAGUAAAGUAUCGGAACGUGCCCAGUCGUGGGGGAUAACGUAGCGAAAGUUACGCUAAUACCGCAUACGAUCUAUGGAUGAAAGCGGGGGAUCGCAAGACCUCGCGCGAUUGGAGCGGCAGAUAUCAGAUUAGGUAGUUGAUGGGGUAAAGGCUCACCAAGCCGACGAUCUGUAGCUGGUCUGAGAGGACGACCAGCCACACUGGGACUGAGACACGGCCCAGACUCCUACGGGAGGCAGCAGUGGGGAAUUUUGGACAAUGGGCGAAAGCCUGAUCCAGCCAUGCCGCGUGCAGGAUGAAGGCCUUCGGGUUGUAAACUGCUUUUGUACGGAACGAAAAGGUUUGGCCUAAUAAGCUGAGCUCAUGACGGUACCGUAAGAAUAAGCACCGGCUAACUACGUGCCAGCCGCCGCGGUAACAC
rnacentral:rRNA from 1 species